AUUGAACGCUGGCGGCAUGCCUAACACAUGCAAGUCGAGCGGACGAACGGAGCUUUCUCCUGGCUUCCGCGGCGGACGGGUGAGUAAUGCCUACGAAUCUGACUUGUAGUUGGGGAUAACGUCCGGACACGGGCCCUAAUACAGCAUACGUCCUGAUGUUGAACGUGGUGGAUCUUCGGACCUCACGCUAUCAGAUGAGCCUAGGUCGCAUUAGCUAGUUGGUGUGGUAAAGGCCUACCAAGGCGACGAUCCGUAACUGGUCUGAGAGGAUGAUCAGUCACACUGGAACUGAGACACGGUCCAGACUCCUACGGGAGGCAGCAGUGGGGAAUAUUGGACAAUGGGCGAAAGCCUGAUCCAGCCAUGCCGCGUGUGUGAAGAAGGUCUUCGGAUUGUAAAGCACUGUUAGUUGGGAGGAAGGGCAGUAAGUUAAUACCUGGCUGUUUUGACGUUACCAACAGAAAAAGCACCGGCUAACUUCGUG
rnacentral:rRNA from 1 species